ensembl:Y_RNA Y_RNA Y RNA
GGUUGAUCCAAAGGUAGUGAGUUAUCUCCAUUCACAGUCAAUUACAGAUCAAACUCCUUGUUCUACUCUUUCCUCCCUUUUCACUACUGCACUUAACUAGUCAUUU